ensembl:lncRNA
AGUCUUUCAUGGGGGGGCAAGGGGCAGGGAACAUGGAGGAUCAACAUUGUCUUCUCCAAAGAGGAGAAGAAAAGAGUGAGAGAAUGCAGGAGGAAGACAAAGGGAAAUGGGACUUGUUGGGGAAAAGAGGGGGACGCUCAGGGAUUGAAACAGGCUGGGGUCCAACUUAAUAAGAAGCGAACCAAAACAAAACCCAAACAAAAAGUGACUCAAGUUGGCUGUGGGCACCCCCUCCCCCUCGCCGCCGUCCCCAGAAGGCAGCAGAGCUGCGGCUUCAAACAGCCGCCUCACAAUAAAUUCAUGGCAGCCAGGGCCGGGAAACAGGCUGCUGCAAUUUAAAGGAAGCGUGGAUUUGCAUAUUGAAUUAAAAUUAAGAGCUAAUUAUGCAAAUAAAUUAUGACAUUUGGCAGGAGAAUUUGCUUCAAGAUCAUUUAUUACGUUCUUUUUAUAACAGUGCGAGCGUUUAACGGUCAAAGACAAUAUUUUAAAGGAAAAUUAACGCAAGAUUAUUAACCUAAAAACAAUUCCACAUUAAUGAGAUGUAUUUCUCUUCAACUUCUCACACCUGGCUGCCUAUUGAUGCCCAGCCAGGACUGUCUCUCAAUAAUUGGCAUUUUUUUUUGCAGGCAAAUAUUGAAUGAGGUGGUGAACGUUGCUUUGGACAAACUCGCUCAGGAAAAUUCCUUCAGGGUUUUAGCUUGCUGGUCUGUAAAGGGAAGUUGUGAAGGUCAAACAUGUUUCAUGUCGUUCUUCUGUGUGCUCGGACUGACCAGAUCCGCAUGCACUUGGGAGAGGACACAGCACUGCCUACCCUAUCUGCAUGAGAAUAAAAGCUCUCCUGCGAAAAUGCGUAUGAUUGCUUUUUGGAAGAGAUGUAAAAUGGAGGUCUUAGCCAUUUGUGGUCACUGAAGAUCCCAUGGCUUCUUUUCAGAAGAUCGGAGCCAUUAGCCCUGGUGUCUUGGCUCCCUCCAGCCCCACUAACUGCUGCUCACCUGAUGCUGGGACCUUCAUUUGGGGCCACUUUCUGCCCUGCCUGUCCCAGGGCUGUGCAGUUCCAUCAGUGGCCAGGGCCCUCCCACAAGAAGGAAGUCUUCAAGAAAAUUCCACUUUGAGUGAGAAAAAUUCCACAUCAGGAAUGUUUGCUGGGACCCCGAGGGAUGCAAAUGGCCCUAAGACUCCAAAGAUGCCCAUUCCCAGCCAUUGUCUGAGAAGAGUACCCAGCCCAGGCUCAUCCCACACAGCUGCAGUGGUUGACUAUUAGCUGGGAGUGCAGCUGUGUGUCUACAGGGUCAGCUCUUGUCCAAAUAGGAAAAAGACCCUGCCAUUUGCUUCCUGAUGCAGAAGUAUCUGAAAAAGGCGCUUGGCAAACAAAAUUGUAGAUGUCUGCUCUUCUCUCUUGCUUUGCCUCUCUCCAUGCUGCAGCCAGAAGGGAUGCUGGGGAGCAGGAAUGCUACUUUUGCAACCUGUUUUCAGGAGAUCCCAGCUUGGGUGUUACAAGGGAGCUGCAGACAGGAAUGACUGAAGGAGAACAAAAGUCGUACUCAAAUGGCUUAGGUAGCAAGAAAGAAUUUUCCUCCAAGACAGUAUUCUGAAGCUUUGCCAAGGAAGAUGGGUAAUGUCCUUCAAUCAUCUUCACUCCUCCUCCUUUGCCUCUAGCCCUGGCUAUUCUCCACUGCGGUCUGCUCACCCUUCGGGCAGCAUGGGAGGUAAGGACCCAUAUCUGGUUUGUUACCGGGUUUUCCUUUGGUUCCAUUUCUUUAUCUCUGCAUCUUAAAUGUGCCCUCAUGGAACCAUCUGCCUUUGUUAGGAGUUUCCUGAACUCCACACAGUGCCAAAGCUGGAAGGGACUUCUCCCAGAGCUCAGUGGGCAUUUCGCUUCUGAGGCAGCUGGAAGGCUGCCUGUCAUGGUUCUUCCAUCUCCUCUCCCUGGGGAUUUUCCCCCUCUCAGGUUCAAGGUGGAGAGGACAUUCCCUGCUAAAUCAGUCCUGGCGCACAGCGCACAAUGGCAUGCAGAGCCAACCGCAGGUAACAAAUUGCGUUGCAAUAAAUGAAGGGUUUGGAGCCAGACAAAAUGUGCGACAUUCGAAGUUCUCAGCUCUCCUCCCUCAGAAAGGCAAUCUGUGACUUCUGGGCCCUCCUUAAUGACCCAGAGCCGGAUGGAAAAUAAUAUUAAUAAUAAUAAAAGAAACAAAGAAGGGGCUGGCGCAUUUUUUAAAUAAAGAAAUUUCCCUCAUCUUGCGGUUAAUUUAAAAGGUUUAUUUCUUGAAAUGAAUCCUCUUCAUCAAAUCUCCGAUCCUUGAAAAUCAGUGCAACCUGCCUCUGUGGAUAAUGAAUUGAUUUGUAAUGUAAAUUAUAUAAAACACCCUCCCCGCCAGCAUUUGUGUGUGAGUGUGUUUAAUCUAAAGCGUUUAAGUCUGAAAAUGAGCUUCUCCAUCAAAAGUCUCGAUUCCAUUUACAUUUCUUGCAUACGAGUCAAUUUGUGUCUGACCCAGUCUAUAAAUCACUGCCAAGGAGUGCUGUGUCUGUACCUCUCCUCUUCCCCCACCCCCUCCCCUCAUCCUUCCAUCCUUGCACAUGCUAUCUUCAAAACGGCAUCUUCAGAUGCCGCCUGUAAACAGCCCCCAUUCUUUGGCCAAAUGCUGGCUAGAGGAUGAGGGACCCUGGCCCCAAGAGGUGUGCAGUAUGGGCAGCAGCAGCCAGGCGAGAAGUCCUGCUCUGCUGCCAGCUGCUCAGGGAGAGUCUCCCAGGGGAAGGUGCCCUCUCUCUCGGUGGCUCCUUUCCAACACGUGGUUGCUUGGCCACCAAAGGAGUCCAUGGCUGAUGCAUGUUACAGGUUACGACCAGGUCUUCUGCAAGUGUACAUUAACAUGGCCUUGGAAAAUCCACCAAGUGGGAAUCAUUUACACCACCAGAGUCUUUGUCUCAGUCUUUGUCUCCCCACGUUUCCCAUCAUGCCAACAUUCAUCCUUCACCUCGUCCUAUUGGAAUACCUCUUUAGCUUUCCUUCUGCGUACUGAAACCAGUGGACCCUCCCCUUGCUGGUUGGAUCUCUGUACGAUAAGUUCACAAGACCCUUUGGAAGAGCAGGGAACAUGCAAACAGUAAUAUCUUCAUCUAGAGGGUCUUGUGACAUCUGCGUGAUAGUAUUAAAGGUGGCUUAGUAGUGAUGCACCUGAGGACAAGCAGGCCAGGAGGUCAUUACUUCAGGUCCCUUCUAUGAAGCAUCAGCAGUUCUGAGGCUGUGAAAUGCAGCUUUCACAGGGCUAUGUUCCAUGGCUAACACAGAAUGCGAAUGGGACCAACAGCCCAUCAUUGACUCUAGUGGGGAAUUUUCUGACACGCUUAUUUUUCUGCUCUAUUUUUUUUCCUUCAGGAAAGACACAAUUGAAACUGAUUUCUAACGUUGGGAGAAAAAUGGAAUCAAGUUUGGAAAUAUUUCAUGAGUCCAAAUUUGAAAAAAUCCAAUAUAUUGGUGUGAAACAGCUUACUGCUCUAGUUGCGGUAUGGAUGCAGUAAAAAGAAAAUUGGAAUCUGAAAUAACGAUUAGGAAAUUGCUCAAAACAAGUUGAGUUUGAUCAACUGAUAUUUCCUGGUUUUGUUUUUGUUUUUUUUUUUUUAAUUUGAAGAGUUGGUGUUGGCUGGCUGGCUGGCUGGAGUUAUAAUGGUGAACUUGCAAAACUGUUCAAGACUUGUGAUGGAAAAUAUUUUUGAAUUCUAAAAAUUUGUUCAAAGCAAGGAAACAAUUUCCUACCCAAAUUCCACUAAUUCUUUCACAAGCAGUGAUUUUUUUUUUUUAGCAGACAGAUUAAGAAAGUCCAGGACAGAGGGCUGGAAUCACAUCUUCGCUGAUAGAAAAUACAUACUGGAAUAGUGCAGGAUUCUCCCUGGGUUUGGCAGUCUGGGGCAGGGACUGUUGCAGAUUUACUCAGAUGAGAACACAGAACACAUCCAGAUCUCCAAAAGAGCAUGAGAUGAAGAACAGGACCAGCAGUCACAUGCCCUACCUGCAGCCAUUGGUGUCCUCUCUCUGCAAACUUUGACCUUCCCAAAUUCUGCUCUCUCUGAGCCAUCCCAGCAGAGGGGGAUUCAAUCCUUUGCCACUGGCUACUUCAAAAUGGGGAAGUGAAACAUCAGACAAGUGAUGUGAGAACUCAGCUCGAGCUGGAAAGUCAAUCUGAGGUGAUGGUCUUCUGAAAAGCCUCAGUUCACAGACCUACUACUGAAAAUCUAUGCAUCCAGAAAUUUCCCAACCAUUUAUAAUCUGUCGCAUUCCCCUGUGUGGUGAGCAGAGGCACUCGGUAUUCCUCUGCCGCGGCAGAUAGGCUCAGAAGAUGAGAGCAGAGUGAUGAAGUGUGAGACCAGAAGUGUGAGCUUCCCAAAGGUGACAAAAUGGGUUCUCCAGGUAAGAGCUCUGAGGACAUCACAAGAACAAUAGUAAGCUCCGCUAUAUUAAGUAUUGAGCUCGCAUCCUGGCAGAUGCUAUUUUUCAGCCUGUGGUCUGCAGAUCCCUGGCAGAGCAGGGACUGCUGUGAGGAGGGUGGGAAAAGCGAUUUCAGCAGCGCUUUCCAGCAGUUUGGGAGCUGCCUGCUGGGGUGCUGAGCCUUCGCGGGAGCUUUUCUGGGAGUUCACAAAUCAAAGCAAGUUGAAAGGCACCGCAGCAGGAUAAUGUUCUAUUGAUCGCUUUGUUUUUGCAGAGGAUAGAUUUUGUUUAAUCUUCCUCUUCCUUAGAUUGCUCAACGCCAUUAGUUCUAUCUUCACUAAUAUCAAAGAUAAAAAAUCACUAGAGGAGAGACUUUCUAAUGCUGUUUGCACAACUUUCUGGCAGGUGAUGGCAUAGGAAACGAGCAAAGCAUGGACUUGAAAGUUUGAGCGCUUACUGUAUCCAAAACAGACUGAAAACCUAGGAACGAAGAGCCAAGAGCUGGACAGAGGGAGACAGAGAGCCCCUGUUGGUUCAGGAGCCCACCAGCUUACCCAUGGCGGUACAGUGGGGCUGCACAAGGGAAACCAACAUUUGACGUGCGCACAGUGGGGAGAGGAGAGGCGACGAGGAGGGAGGGGGCUGCCAGCCUGAGGCCAGACAAUGUCCCCAUAUGGAGAACAGAAGGAUGCCGGGGCGGUCGCAUUCAGAGCUGUCCCUCUGCUCCCCCUGCGCCGCAUGGCUCCUGCUUGGUGGACGGGCUCUUAACAUAACAAGGGGGGUGCGGGGGCGGCCAGCCUGUGCUCACACCCCCGGAUUCCUCCAGCCCAUCCCUGGUUUCCCAGCUACUGAUCCCAGCAGCCCAUGCCCUCUCCCCGUACCCGUUCUCAGCACAUCCCCGGCAGCCCUAUUGUCUGCCAGCCUCUGAGAUGGGAAGCGAUGCUCCUGGUCCAUGCCUGAUAAAGGGCAAUAAAUAAAUAGAAGAAAAAACAAUACAUGUGUCCGUGUGCAUACGUACACGUAUGUAUGUAUACAGACGUACGUCUAUGCAAUAAAUAAAACAAACCAGCCAAGUCCUCCAGGCGAUAUGAGCUCUGUCUAUU